rnacentral:lncRNA from 1 species
CUCUAACUUUGCUCUCUUUCACUGCAAAAUGCAUUUCCCAUCUCCCCACCCCUAUAUAUAGGAGAGGGAAGCCCAAAGGGUCAGCCAAGAGGAGUUUAGGUGGCAAUUGGUGAGGUUGCCACCUCAAUUCCUCAAGCUUAUCCAUUUUUCUCUCGUUUCCCUCUUCCUUCACCUUUAAGUAGUUCUAGAGUAUUUCAUGC